rnacentral:rRNA from 1 species
GCCAUCCUUGGGAUACCACCCUUGUAGUACUGGGACUCUAACCAUAGGCCAUGAAUCUGGUCUUGGGACACUGUCAGGUGGGCAGUUUGACUGGGGCGGUCGCCUCCCAAAAGGUAACGGAGGCGCUCAAAGGUUCUCUCAGUACGGUCGGAAAUCGUACGUAGAGUGUAAAGGCAAAAGAGAGCUUGAUUGCAAGACAUACAGGUCGAGCAAGGAUGAAAAUCGGACUUAGUGAUCCGGUGGUUCUGCGUGGAAGGGCCAUCGCUCAACGGAUAAAAGCUACCCUGGGGAUAACAGGCUUAUCUCCCCCAAGAGUCCACAUCGACGGGGAGGUUUGGCACCUCGAUGUCGGCUCAUCACAUCCUGGGGCUGUAGUAGGUCCCAAGGGUUGGGCUGUUCGCCCAUUAAAGUGGUACGCGAGCUGGGUUCAGAACGUCG